rnacentral:rRNA from 1 species
CCUACGGGAGGCUGCAGUGAGGAAUAUUGGUCAAUGGACGAGAGUCUGAACCAGCCAAGUAGCGUGAAGGAUGACUGCACUAUGGGUUGUAAACUUCUUUUAUAUGGGAAUAAAAUGUUCCACGUGUGGGAUUUUGUAUGUACCAUAUGAAUAAGGAUCGGCUAACUCCGUGCCAGCAGCCGCGGUAAUACGGAGGCUCCGAGCGUUAUCCGGAUUUAUUGGGUUUAAAGGGAGCGUAGGUGGAUUGUUAAGUCAGUUGUGAAAGUUUGCGGCUCAACCGUAAAAUUGCAGUUGAAACUGGCAGUCUUGAGUACAGUAGAGGUGGGCGGAAUUCGUGGUGUAGCGGUGAAAUGCUUAGAUAUCACGAAGAACUCCGAUUGCGAAGGCAGUUCACUGGACUGCAACUGACACUGAGGCUCGAAAGUGUGGGUAUCAAACAGGAUUAGAUACCCUAGUAGUC